rnacentral:rRNA from 1 species
UACGUAGGGGGCAAGCGUUGUCCGGAUUUAUUGGGCGUAAAGAGCGUGUAGGCGGUUUGGUAGGUCCGCUGUGAAAACUCGAGGCUCAACCUCGAGACGCCGGUGGAAACCAUCAGGCUAGAGUCCGGAAGAGGAGAGUGGAAUUCCUGGUGUAGCGGUGAAAUGCGCAGAUAUCAGGAGGAACACCGGUGGCGAAGGCGGCUAUCUGGACCGUAACUGACGCUGAGGCGCGAAAGCGUGGGGAGCAAACAGG